UUUCCGUAGGUGGACCUGCGGAAGGAUCAUUACAGAGUUCAUGCCCGAAAGGGUAGACCUCCCACCCUUGUGUAUUAUUACUUUGGUGCUUUGGCGAACGCAAGCUCGCCAGAGAAUACCAAAACUCUUUUUAUUAAUGUCGUAUGAGUACUAUAUAAUAGUUAAAACUUUCAACAACGGAUCUCUUGGUUCUG
rnacentral:misc_RNA from 1 species